CAAGGUGCUGCAUGGUUGUCGUCAGCUCGUGCCGUGAGGUGUCGGGUUAAGUCCCAUAACGAGCGCAACCCCUACUUGUUAGUUGCCAUCAGGUCAUGCUGGGGACUCUAACAAAACUGCCCGCGUAAGCGUGGAGGAAGGUGGGGAUGACGUCAAAUCAGCACGGCCCUUACGUCCAGGGCUACACACGUGCUACAAUGGCCGGUACAGAGGGCAGCCACUUGGUGACAAGGAGCAAAUCUCAAAAGCCGGUCUCAGUUCGGAUCGGAGUCUGCAACUCGACUCCGUGAAGUUGGAUUCGCUAGUAAUCGUAGAUCAGCAAUGCUACGGUGAAUACGUUCCCGGGCCUU
rnacentral:rRNA from 1 species